CAUUCGAUUUCUUUUAACUCUGGAAAGACGAAUUCUGUUCCCUUCAUGGUGCAUUCGGUGACACUGCCUUCUGGAAGUGCCGUGAUGCUCCUGGUUGCGUCAAAGGAGAAUCUCUGUGCAACGGCAUUCCUGACUGUGAGGACGGCUCGGACGAAGAGAAAUGUCACAGUGAUGAUGUGUGUGAGUCUAUUGGAUACUGGGCUUGUAGAUCCACGCUUCCUCCUUUUCCGAAGUGCAUCAGUCGGCAGGAGUUAUGUGAUAGCCAUGUGGACUGCAGGGACUUUUCGGAUGAGACCAACUGUGGUUACUGUGGAUAUUAUGCAAUAGUUCUGAUCGGUCAAAUGGCGAAUUCUGUCUAUAAUGAUAACACUGACAAGAUGUUACUGGGCCGUGCGGGAUGCAUCCCAAUGGAUCUUGUGUGUGAUGGAGUAAUAGACUACC